rnacentral:rRNA from 1 species
UAGGAUAUGCUUGUCUCAAAGAUUAAGCCAUGCACGUGUUAGUACAAUCAUAAAUUGUGAAACUGCGAAUGGCUCAUUAAAACAGUUAUAGUUUAUUUGAUAAUGACUUUUACAUGGAAUAACCGUGGGAAACCGAGGCUAAUACAUGCGUAAAGAUCUUUCUGUAGGGAGGAUUGCAUUUAUUAGAUACAAAUCAUUAGCCUAGCUAAUGUGAGGAAUCAUAAUAACUUAGCGGACCGCAUUAUUAUGCGGCACUUCAAUCAAGUUUCUGACCUAUCAGUUUGUUGGUAGUGUAUUGGACUACCAAGGCUUUCACGGGUAACGAGAAAUUAGGGUUUGAUUUCGGAGAAGGAGCCUGAGAAACGGCUACUACAGCUACGGCUGGCAGCAGGCGCGAAAAUUGCCCAAUACCGACUAGGUGAGGCAGCGACAAGAAAUAUAAACGCGGGGUUCUCACGAACUUACGCGAUUUAAAUGAGAAAAAUCCAAAAAGCUUAUUGAGAAACAAUU